rnacentral:rRNA from 1 species
CGUUCCCGGGCCUUGUACACACCGCCCGUCACACCACGAAAGCCGUGUGUACCAGAAGUCGCUGGGCCAACCCCUUUUGGGGAGGUAGGCGCCUAAGGUAUGCGGGGUAAUUGGGGUG